GCUGCGUUUGCAUGGACGUUGGCCUUUGCAAGAGAUGACCCUCACUUCCAGCUGCUGAGUAACCCUUCUUCCUGUUCUGUGUUACUGCAUCCCAAAACCCAGCUCUUUGGGAGGUGGCUGUGUGGAAUAAGGUGCAGAGAACUUUCUGUGCAGCAGAGGCCCAUAUCACAACCAGAGCAUGUGAGGAUAACUGCCUCUACAAGGAGAGCAUUAGUUCUUUUCCCUCCUCACCAAACAUCCUGUGUGCUCCUCUCAGGACUCAUGACAACUCAGUGGAGAAGAGCUGUUGAGUAUGGCCAGCUAAAGCAAAGGAGAUUUGCCUUAGUUAAGAGUGAGUGCUUUCUGGUUAUGUUAAAAACUAGCACUUCGUCCUCUGAGGUACCCGUUGAUUUUGAUUGGUGUUACAAGCCACCUCGUGAUGGGCUGUAGUAGAAAAAGCAGUUGCCACUGGAGGUGAGCACAAGGUGAGAUAAAAACUGAACAAAAAUAUAGCAUUGUUCUUUUUAAACUGCAAAUUCAAGUCCAAGGUUGUGAACAGCAUAACCUUCAAAUAAUAAAUGUGCAGACAAAUCUUUCAAAUGCACUAUGAGAGCUAUUUUGGAAGACAUAACUGCAAGCCUCUUGAGUUAGAUGUAGUGAUUGCACAGGUGUAGGCUGCCCCAGCAAAAUGUCUUUUCAUGACCAAAGCAGAGGAUUUCAUUAAGAGUGCUGUUAUGUUUUCACUGCCUAGUUAAUUUUGCUUUCUGAGGCUCUUCCAAUGUCUCAGCUCACAGGAAAGUACGUCAGGAAGAAUUUUCAGUUCUUCCCAUGGCAUGUACUUUUGGUGGAGAUUUUCUCUUUAUUUUACAGAAAUUUAGAAGCUCAUUUCUGUCUAGCGUGAUUUGGGUGGCAGAGGUUGAGUUGGGAGGGAAGGCACUCCGAGGAAACAACACCCUCUUCAUAGCAACCAUUAGGAAACAGGCUCAGCUGUCCCUGGUACACAGAAUCUCAGCUGGUUAAACUGCCUACAUUUCUCUCUGAAGUUAACAGUAGAAUAGCCAAGUAGAAAUCAUUCCCCAGAUGUUACAAGCGCUCUGAAAUAUGUUUGAAACUAUCUAAAUACUUUACACUUCUUAUAAAUUCAUAUCUUGAUCCCAGAAGAGGAUCCAGUGCGCUCACCAUGGACUAAUAAACAUUUAGAAAAGUUAAAUUACUUAGAGAUAUUUAAGUAUCAUACAAAUAUGUGUAAAGUGUAGACACUCU
rnacentral:lncRNA from 13 species